GAUGAAAGUGCGGUAAUACGCACCGGAGGUCCGAACCCGUGUACGUUGAAAAGUGCUGGGAUGAGGUGUGGAUAGCGGUGAAAUUCCAAACGAACUUGGAGAUAGCUGGUUCUCUCCGAAAUAGCUUUAGGGUUAGCCUCGGAUUUAGAAUCAUGGAGGUAGAGCCACUGUUUGGACAAGGGGUCCGUCUUGGAUUACUAAGUUCAGAUAAACUCCGAAUACCAUUGAUUUAUAUCCGGGAGUCAGACGAUGAGUGAUAAGAUCCAUCGUCGAAAGGGGAACAGCCUAGACCACCAGUUAAGGUCCCUAAAUAUAUGCUAAGUGGAAAAGGCGGUGGAGUUGCAUAGACAACUAGGAUGUUGGCUCAGAAGCAGCCACCAUUUAAAGAGUGCGUAAUAGCUCACUAGUCGAGUGAUUCUGCGCCGAAAAUUUACCGGGGCUAAGUAUAUUACCGAGACUGUGGACGCGACUUUGUCGCGUGAUAGGAGAGCGUUCUAAGGGCAACGAAGCUAGACCGUAAGGACUAGUGGAGCGCUUAGAAGUGAGAAUGCCGGUAUGAGUAGCGAAAAAUCAGUGAGAAUCUGAUUCACCGAAUGACUAAGGUUUCCUGGGGAAGGCUCGUCCACCCAGGGUUAGUCGGGACCUAAGUCGAGGCCGAGAGGCGUAGACGAUGGAUAACAGGUUGAGAUUCCUGUACUAGUUAUUAACGUUUGAGUGAUGGAGGAACGCAGAAGGCUAAGUUGUGCAUCCUGAUGGAUAUGGAUGUUCAAGUCGCAAGUCAGGUCAAGAGAGAAAUGCUUUUGAUCGGGUUGACAAGCGACGAUGAGGACCGAAAUUAUAGUAGGGAAGCAACUGAUGUCACGCUGCCGAGAAAAGCUUCUAGCGAGUUAAUAACUACCCGUACCGCAAACCGACACAGGUAGUCGAGGAGAGUAUCCUCAGGUGAGCGAGAGAACUCUCGUUAAGGAACUCGGCAAAAUGACCCCGUAACUUCGGAAGAAGGGGUGCUGUCCUAACGGACAGCCGCAGUGAAGAGGCCCAGACGACUGUUUAUCAAAAACACAGGUUUCUGCAAAAUCGUAAGAUGACGUAUAGGGGCUGACGCCUGCCCGGUGCUGGAAGGUUAAGUGGAAGAGUUAGCUUCGGCGAAGCUCCGAAAUGAAGCCCCAGUAAACGGCGGCCGUAACUAUAACGGUCCUAAGGUAGCGAAAUUCCUUGUCGGGUAAGUUCCGACCCGCACGAAAGGCGUAACGAUCUGGGCACUGUCUCAACGAGAGACUCGGUGAAAUUAAGAUACCUGUGAAGAAGCAGGUUACCCGCGACAGGACGGAAAGACCCCAUGGAGCUUUACUGUAGCUUGAUAUUGGGUGUUUGCACAGCUUGUACAGGAUAGGUAGGAGCCAUUGAAACCGGAGCGCUAGCUUCGGCGGAGGCGUCAUUGGGAUACUACCCUUGCUAUGUGAACACUCUAACCCUGAGCACUCAACGUGCUCGGAGACAGUGUCUGGUUGGCAGUUUGACUGGGGCGGUCGCCUCCCAAAUAGUAACGGAGGCGCCCAAAGGUUCCCUCAGAAUGGUUGGAAAUCAUUCAUAGAGUGUAAAGGCAGAAGGGAGCUUGACUGCGAGACAUACAGGUCGAGCAGGGACGAAAGUCGGGCUUAGUGAUCCGGUGGUACCAUAUGGAAGGGCCAUCGCUCAACGGAUAAAAGCUACCCUGGGGAUAACAGGCUUAUCUCCCCCAAGAGUUCACAUCGACGGGGAGGUUUGGCACCUCGAUGUCGGCUCAUCGCAUCCUGGGGCUGUAGUUGGUCCCAAGGGUUGGGCUGUUCGCCCAUUAAAGCGGUACGCGAGCUGGGUUCAGAACGUCGUGAGACAGUUCGGUCCCUAUCCGUCGCGGGCGCAGGAAAUUUGAGAGGAGCUAUCCCUAGUACGAGAGGACCGGGAUGGACAUACCGCUGGUGUACCAGUUGCGCCGCCAGGCGCACAGCUGGGUAGCUAUGUAUGGACGAGAUAAACGCUGAAAGCAUCUAAGUGUGAAACUCGCCUCGAGAUGAGAUUUCCCAUUCCUUUAUGGAAGUAAGACCCCUGAAAGAUGAUCAGGUAGAUAGGUUAGAAGUGGAAGCGUAGUGAUACGUGAAGCGGACUAAUACUAAUCGGUCGAGGACUUAACCAA
rnacentral:rRNA from 1 species